rnacentral:rRNA from 1 species
AUUGAACGCUGGCGGCAGGCCUAACACAUGCAAGUCGAACGGUAGCACAGAGAGCUUGCUCUCGGGUGACGAGUGGCGGACGGGUGAGUAAUGUCUGGGAAACUGCCCGAUGGAGGGGGAUAACUACUGGAAACGGUAGCUAAUACCGCAUAACGUCGCAAGACCAAACUGGGGGACCUUCGGGCCUCACACCAUCGGAUGUGCCCAGAUGGGAUUAGCUAUGAGGUGGGGUAAUGGCUCACCUAGGCGACGAUCCCUAGCUGGUCUGAGAGGAUGACCAGCCACACUGGAACUGAGACACGGUCCAGACUCCUACGGGAGGCAGCAGUGGGGUAUAUUGCACAAUGGGCGCAAGCCUGAUGCAGCCAUGCCGCGUGUAUGAAGAAGGCCUUCGGGUUGUAAAGUACUUUCAGCGGGGAGGAAGGCGGUGAAGUUAAUAACUUCACCGAUUGACGUUACCCGCAGAAGAAGCACCGGCUAACUCCGUGCCAGCCGCCGCCGUAA